CGUGUUUUGCAUAGAGGGAAGUGGCAGGAAAGGGGAAACAUUUCAUCCAACAUGAAGCCUCCUGGACGCCCCCCUCUGGACAUGAAAGAAACUGCAGGCAUCGGUGCUCUAAUGAGAGUGCAUCAUUUCCACAUGCAGUCUUUGGAGAACAGGGUGACCGUGGUUGCAUCAGUGCCCUGUACAGUAUGAGGGCUGAUCUGUUGUCAAUUACAGGAGCAACCUAAUGACUUUGGGAGCACUUAAGACUGCAACUACAGCUGCUGCUGAUUCAUGCUUGUCUUGCUUGGAUAUCAACCGGUAAAUUUAAAAACCGAGGGUCACAUGUGGUUAUUGACAUAAACCUUGUAUCUUCAUUUCACAUGUGUGCUCUGACGUUUACCAUUAACUCCUGACUUCCAGCACAAUACGUUUUUGUAUUCUAUUUUGUGUAUUGCAUUGUCCUUCACUGAAAUCCUAUACACCACCUUCUAUUUGUAACUUUUCUCGGAUGUAUGUAAUAAUAAUGUUCCCAGACUCUCUAAAAGCUGAAAAAUCCAAGUCGCGUGUCACAAAUUGUCCUACGUUGUAUCUCUAAUGUGCUGUGCCUCUAUGUUUAAGAAUGCUGGCUCCAUUAUGGAGGAGUCUGGAAAGGGCUAGUCAAGGUUUUCUUUCAGAGACAGUGUGAUAUUGUUUUCCGCCAAACCAGAAAUCAAGGCCUUGAACAGGCCUUCUUUAUGUCAGGGAUAGGGGUAGUGUAUUUUCUCUGACAGUUGCUCCUUUUAAGAUUAAUAGCCUUAUGAAAACCGGGUGUCCUCUAAAUAAGGCUCAAAAUCAGUCAGUGAGACCUCCGCAAGAGAAAUUUGGGCCAGAAUAUUAAUGUCACACAGAAAAAAUGUGUGCGCAGACAUCAAGGUUUUUACUACCUUGACAACAAGCAUGCUCAAUAACAAUGCUGUAGUUCCACUUUUAGUCAUAUUUUACCAAGAAAGUGUUUUUAUUGAUGCUGAAAUUGGACAAACUGGUGUAGCACACAUCUUUAUUCAUAAAUAAAUUAAUAAUACAUCAAUAAUUGUAUUUUUUUAUCUCCAUAAGACUAUUCUUUGCAAACAGUUUGGUGUGGAAGAACCUAUAAGUAUUGACCCUGACCGCAUCAAACACUUUGGUAUAAACUAGAACAGAGUCUGAACAUCGCAGGUCCAGUAUCGGUGACCUCUGACCUAAAUGCCUAAAUGAAGUCUUACCAGUAGGGAUGUGUACCAACCAAAGCCUGUUGGUAGUACCAGGUACUGAUUCACGUAAUAUCAAACAGUGCCAUAUUUUUCGAUACCUAUGUUGCACGUUCGGUUGCAUACUCGUUACUGGCUUAAGCACUUUUCUGGGAAUCAAGCAGUUAGCACUCAGAGCACUCAGUCCAAAUACUUCUUGGUAAUAUUGCAAUUUUCCUUGCCUAUAAAGUAAGAAAAAUUAACCCAAAAUUACAGUAAGGCUCCACUUUUCUGAAAAGCGUUAGCUCUAUGCUAAUUUACUCUGUAUUUUCCUUACACAUGCCAGAGAUUAGCAUUAGCAAUUUUACAUGGCGAUUUCAACAACUCCAAAUUCAGUAAUCCAGACUAUAACUAAAAUGCACGUUACAAUCAAACUGCUUGUGUGCAAUAAGUACAAUGCAAUAAGUAAAAACAAAUUGUAGGGCUCAACAAAAGAAAAGACUGGCAUAUUAUUAUUUUUUUUUUGCAAAGACUACUUCCUGGCUAUAUCAACACACCGUAUCCUAUACACUACUGCCAUCUAACGUCUUGGAAUUGCAACUGGAUGUAAAGUCUAUGAUAUAAUACUUGUAAAUGAGACUGAGAAGUAUUAGAAAACAGAAUAGCAACUUUACAGCACAGCUCAGUGUUAAAUGUUAAACAAAAAAAUGAGUUUUUUUUUUUUACUAUUAACAUCUAUUAAUACAUUUGAACACACACAAAAAGUACUGUAAAUUGGUACCGUUGAGUACGGGUAUCGAUUCCAAGGUACCGGGAAUUGGUACCGUAUACAAAUGUGAAAGGUAUCCAUCCCUAUUUAAAAGUAGGUUUGGGGGAUGCUACAAAUGUUUCCAUUAAUCUGAAAGCAAGAAUAUAUAGGGUAAGUAUUGCGUAUAGAUACCGACAAAUUUUACUUGAAAAAGUUCAAGAUAAUUUAGUUUUUUUAAAUUUUGCCUUUAAUUUGUGGAUCAUCUAUAUUAUCAGAAUUAAAUGAUUUGGUCAACCAAAAAUAAUAACAUACAAUAACAACAAUAGCCUUCUCUGUAGUGGACAUUUGUGUUUUACA